rnacentral:rRNA from 1 species
GUGGGGAAUAUUGGACAAUGGGGGGAACCCUGAUCCAGCCAUGCCGCGUGUGUGAAGAAGGCCUUUUGGUUGUAAAGCACUUUAAGCGAGGAGGAGGCUACCGAGAUUAAUACUCUUGGAUAGUGGACGUUACUCGCAGAAUAAGCACCGGCUAACUCUGUGCCAGCAGCCGCGGUAAUACAGAGGGUGCAAGCGUUAAUCGGAUUUACUGGGCGUAAAGCGCGCGUAGGUGGCCAAUUAAGUCAAAUGUGAAAUCCCCGAGCUUAACUUGGGAAUUGCAUUGGAUACUGGUUGGCUAGAGUAUGGGAGAGGAUGGUAGAAUUCCAGGUGUAGCGGUGAAAUGCGUAGAGAUCUGGAGGAAUACCGAUGGCGAAGGCAGCCAUCUGGCCUAAUACUGACACUGAGGUGCGAAAGCAUGGGGAGCAAACAGGAUUAGAUACCCUGGUAGUCC